ensembl:lncRNA
CUGAGGGCUGAGAGGUGGGAAUGGAGUUAGCUGGGGCUGAGGGCAGGAGGUGGGAAUGGAGUUAGCUGGGGCUGAGAGGUGGGAAUGGAGUUAGCUGGGGCUGAGGGCUGAGAGGUGGGAAUGGAGUUAGCUGGGGCUGAGAGGUGGGAAUGGGGUUAGCUGGGGCUGAGGGCUGGAGGUGGGAAUGGGGUUAGCUGGGGCUGAGGGCUGGAGGUGGGAAUGGAGUUACCUGGGGCUGAGGGCUGGAGGUGGGAAUGGGGUUAGCUGGGGCUGAGGGCUGGAGGUGGGAAUGGAGUUAGCUGGGGCUGAGGGCUGAGAGGUGGGAAUGGGGUUAGCUGGGGCUGAGGGCUGAGAGGUGGGAAUGGAGUUCGCUGGGGCUGAUGGCUGAGAGGUGGGAAUGGGGUUAGCUGGGGCUGAGGGCUGGAGGUGGGAAUGGGGUUAGCUGGGGCUGAGGGCUGGAGGUGGGAAUGGGGUUAGCUGGGGCUGAGGGCUGGAG